CCUACGGGUGGCAGCAGUGGGGAAUAUUGCACAAUGGGGGAAACCCUGAUGCAGCGACGCCGCGUGAAGGAAGAAGUAUUUCGGUAUGUAAACUUCUAUCAUCAGGGAAGAAAAUGACGGUACCUGACUAAGAAGCCCCGGCUAACUACGUGCCAGCAGCCGCGGUAAUACGUAGGGGGCAAGCGUUAGCCGGAUUUACGGGGUGUAAAGGGAGCGUAGGCGGCGGUGCAAGUCAGAAGUGAAAGCCCGGGGCUCAACUCCGGGACUGCUUUUGAAACUGUGUUGCUAGAUUGCAGGAGAGGUAAGUGGAAUUCCAAGUGUAGCGGUGAAAUGCGUAGAGAUGAGGCAGAACACCGAUGGCGAAGGCAGCAUGCCGGCUUCCGACUGACGCUGAGGCACGAAAGCGUGGGGAUCGAACAGGAUUAGAUACCCCUGUAGUC
rnacentral:rRNA from 1 species